rnacentral:lncRNA from 1 species
CUGUUGUUGUUACUGUCAAGUUUCUUGUUGGGGUUGGUGUUUUUCUUGGAAGAUUUGGGAGGGUGAAGAAGGUCAUCUUCAGCCUUGCCCUUGAACCCCUUAGGAUUGAUAUUGAGGUUAAUGCUGGUGUUAAGAUUGGCAAAAGCAGGUUUGGAGUAAAUUCCCUUGUUGAAGCCUCCAUUGAUACCCACCCCAGCAUCCAAACCAGCACCAAAAAUGUUGUUGCUGUUGUUGUAAGUCAUGGGAAGAAGAGAUCCAUUCAUGUUAUCGUUGUAAUCAAAAGCAGGGUCCUUUGACUUGAAAGAGUUGAUCUCACCACCCACUUUGAUGUCAAAAUUGAUCCUUUCAUCACGCCUCUUGGACACGUAAUUGCUGCUCCAAAUGGAAUCGUUCAGAGAGAGGUUUGCCAAAUUGGGUGUCUGCAACCGCAGCUGG